UACGUACUCCCUUCCGUCCCAAAAUUCUUGUCUUAGAUUUGUCUAGAUACGGAUGUAUCUAAUACUAAAACGUGACUUGAUACAUCCGUAUUUGGACAAAUGUAAGACAAGAAUUCUGGGACGGAGGGAGUAUCAA
rfam:Triticum aestivum genome assembly, contig: Triticum_aestivum_CS42_TGACv1_scaffold_221177_3B